AUGAGGAGCAAUGAGUCACAUAUUUUGGAACUGCUGUGGGGGGUUGAGAACCGUAUGGCAGUUCACGAGUUGUUGGCACUCACAUAGGCAAACUCCCCCGGGCUUGUCUUCCUUUGUGAGAUGAGACAAGCCUCAGUUCGAGUUGAGAAGUUGAAAUAGAGAUUGGGCUUGAGAGGGUAUACUGGUGUGGACAGUAAUGGAUUGAGUGGUGUAUUAGCUCUAUUCUGGAAUGAAACUCUACAAGUAAAUCCGUUGGACAAGUGUGACAGAUACAUUGAUACUAAUAUUGUGGAUCAUGGUUGUUGGGAAAUGUAG
rnacentral:rRNA from 1 species